AUGGAGGCCUUAAUAAAGGUAGUUGCGUUACUAGCUAAGGAAUGGGGAGCUUCUGUGAAGCCGAAGGAUAUUACACUAUGUGUAGAGCGGCUCCAGAAAGAAGGAGCCAUAGAUAGGCCRGGGGACUGCUUGCAGCCAGAAUUCUGGUCGCAAUGCACUACGGUGCUGGCGGAGCGAGCUAUGUCCACAAACUCGGCCAAAGAUCUCAAGACGUGGGGAAUUAUACUCCGUUUUCUGAAGCGGUCGCGGGAAGAAAUGGAGACUUGGAAGGCCGCCCGCGACGCGUUGUUUCAUCAGGAGGAGGCUGAGACGGAAACGGAGGAGAAGUCUAGCGAUGGGAGGGCGAAAGAGCCGGGGGAGAGCGGGGGCGGGGAGGCCCCAGCGAAAGAACAGGAGGGCGGGGGCGGGGAGGUCCCAGUGAUCUUACCGGUGGAAUCCCAGGAACCACCCCCGGUGUACCCCUGGCAAGAUCUCACACAAGACGGAGAGGGCUGGGGGGUCGACGGGACCGACCCUGAGGAUUGCGUGCCUGGCGCAGUUCUGAGGAAGGUGCUUAGUGAGGAAGAUAAGAUUCUGCUGCUGUGGGCCCCGGUAGAGGAGGGGGCUGUAGGCGGGGAGAGUCAGGCGGUGCAGCGAAGGAGGAAGGGUAACGGCCAAUCGGAGCGGAGAGACCAGAGUACGACCUUGAAAGGAGGAAGGAAAGUCCGAGUGAGAUCGCCAGUUAAGGAGGACAGCGGAGAAGAUAGUGACGAGGAAGGCGGGGGCUUGCAGGAAGUUACGUGCAGGCUGCAGGGAUGUGUAUUAGGAGAAACGCCUCCGAAAGGGAGGCUGAAGGGCGGAGAGGAAGUAACAACAUCCUCGGUCGACACUCUAUUGCGUGCAUUAGAGGAAAUAAGGCGGGAGGUCAUGGCCACAACAGAGGCUUCGCGGGCCGCGUAUGAGGAACUCGGCAAGCUAGUAAAGGUAGAGCCCCCCUGGACAAAGAUAAAACAGACACACGCAGAGAGCUUCACUGAAUUCUGUGACAGGCUCCAACGGGCCAUUGCAGAGUCAGACUUGCCCCCUGAGGCCCAGAGUCUGGUCAUGAUGGAGUGCCUCUGGUAGCAGAGUAACGCCAUGACGCAGGACAUCCUGAAAACGAUCCCUAAAGGAACACCACUUUCGGUUGUCAUCCGCACGGUACUGGAAAAACAGAACCAGGGAACAGCGGCAGCGCAGACCCUUGUCGCGGCGGCGGACCAGAUGAGAAAGGGACCACAGCGAUGCUUCUCUUGUGGCAGAUUAGGGCAUAUCAGCGCACACUGUCAGCGGCAGGGCCGGCCGAUCCCGCGGCAAGGCCAGGGGCCAUGCUGGGCUUGUGGGCAGUACGGGCAUGUAGCCUGAGAGUGUCCCCAAAAUCAGCAGCGGAAACUCCUGGGAAACGGGGGGCGGGGGGGACUUCGCAAAGGGGUGUCCCUCCCGAAGAUCUUGGCCCCGCGCAGGAGUGUGACCGGAGUUGGCCCAACAGUGGCAGCGGUCCAAGAGGAAGACAUCCCAACGUGGCCCUGGCAGUAAAAUUAGGUGAUCGCCCGGUGGUGCGGGCGACGCUGAGCUUGGGAGGAUGCAGCGACGAGGGGAGGAGGAUAGUAACCAUGCUGGCGGACUCCGGAGCGGACGUGACAUGCAUAGCGCACGCCCAGUGGCCCAAGAGCUGGCCCUUGAUGAAUGCUGGUU
rnacentral:lncRNA from 1 species